GAUGAACGCUAGCUACAGGCUUAACACAUGCAAGUCGCGGGGCAGCAUGGGGGUUGCUUGCCAUCCCCGAUGGCGACCGGCGCACGGGUGAGUAACGCGUAUCCAACCUGCCCUUCACCACGGGAUAACCCGGCGAAAGUCGGACUAAUACCGUAUGUUGUCCAUUGACGGCAUCCGAUUUGGACGAAAGGCUUGGCGGUGAGGGAUGGGGAUGCGUCCGAUUAGCCAGACGGCGGGGUAACGGCCCACCGUGGCUACGAUCGGUAGGGGUUCUGAGAGGAAGGUCCCCCACACUGGAACUGAGACACGGUCCAGACUCCUACGGGAGGCAGCAGUGAGGAAUAUUGGUCAAUGGGCGUAAGCCUGAACCAGCCAAGUAGCGUGCAGGAUGACGGCCCUAUGGGUUGUAAACUGCUUUUAUGCGGGGAUAAAGUGGCCCACGGGUGGGCUUUUGCAGGUACCGCAUGAAUAAGGACCGGCUAAUUCCGUG
rnacentral:rRNA from 1 species